rnacentral:lncRNA from 1 species
GGUUUUAUGCUUGCAUGAGUUUUUGAAUGAAAAAAUAUUUUCUUAUGUUUAGAAAUAUAAUAUAAAAAUUUAUUAAAAAAUAUUAUAAAAAUAAGUAUGUUGGUUAUGAGAAAAAUUCUCUACUUAGACUAUAAUUUGGAUCUAGAUAAUGGGAUUGAUCAUUAGCCAUAUGAUUAAAAACUAAUUUCUUCUGGAUCUAGCCAGUC